AUUGAACGCUGGCGGCAGGCCUAACACAUGCAAGUCGAACGAGUGGCGGACGGGUGAGUAAUGUCUGGGAAACUGCCUGAUGGCGGGGGAUAACUCCUGGAAACGGUAGCUAAUACCGCAUACCAUCAGAUGUGCCCAGAUGGGAUUAGCUAGUGGGUGGGGUAACGGCUCACCAAGGGGACGAUCCCUAGCUGGUCGGAGAGGAUGACCAGCCACACUGGACCUGAGACACGGUCCAGACUCCAACGGGGGGCAGCAGUGGGGAAUAUUGCACAAGGGGCGCAAGCCUGAUGCAGCCAUGCCGCGUGUAUGAAGAAGGCCUUCGGGUUGUAAAGUACGUUCAGCGGGGAGGCGUUACCCGCAGAAGAAGCACCGGCUAACUCCGUGCCAGCCGCCGCGGUAAUUC
rnacentral:rRNA from 1 species